rnacentral:rRNA from 1 species
GAUGAACGCUGGCGGCGUGCCUAAUACAUGCAAGUCGAGCGAACGGACGAGAAGCUUGCUUCUCUGAUGUUAGCGGCGGACGGGUGAGUAACACGUGGAUAACCUACCUAUAAGACUGGGAUAACUUCGGGAAACCGUAGCUAAUACCGGAUAAUAUUUUGAACCGCAUGGUUCAAAAGUGAAAGACGGUCUUGCUGUCACUUAUAGAUGGAUCCGCGCUGCAUUAGCUAGUUGGUAAGGUAACGGCUUACCAAGGCAACGAUGCAUAGCCGACCUGAGAGGGGGAUCGGCCACACUGGAACUGAGACACGGUCCAGACUCCUACGGGAGGCAGCAGUAGGGAAUCUUCCGCAAUGGGCGAAAGCCUGACGGAGCAACGCCGCGUGAGUGAUGAAGGUCUUCGGAUCGUAAAACUCUGUUAUUAGGGAAGAACAUAUGUGUAAGUAACUGUGCACAUCUUGACGGUACCUAAUCAGAAAACCACGGCUAACUACGU